rnacentral:rRNA from 1 species
AGUGAACGCUGGCGGUAGGCCUAACACAUGCAAGUCGAACGGCAGCACAGUAAGAGCUUGCUCUUACGGGUGGCGAGUGGCGGACGGGUGAGGAAUACAUCGGAAUCUACUUUUUCGUGGGGGAUAACGUAGGGAAACUUACGCUAAUACCGCAUACGACCUACGGGUGAAAGCAGGGGAUCUUCGGACCUUGCGCGAUUGAAUGAGCCGAUGUCGGAUUAGCUAGUUGGCGGGGUAAAGGCCCACCAAGGCGACGAUCCGUAGCUGGUCUGAGAGGAUGAUCAGCCACACUGGAACUGAGACACGGUCCAGACUCCUACGAUAGCCAGCAGUAGGGAAUAUUCAACAAUUCUCUCAAGCCUGAUCCAACCAUACCGCGUAAUUGAAGAAGGCCUUCGGAUUGUAAAACCCUUUUAUUAGGAAAGAAAAACAGCAUAUUAAUACCCCGCUGUUCUGACGGUACCCAAAGAAUAAGCACCGGCUAACUUCGUG